CACGUAGGGUGCAAGCGUUGUCCGGAAUCAUUGGGCGUAAAGAGCUCGUAGGCGGCUUAGUAAGUCGGGUGUGAAAUCCCCAGGCUUAACCUGGGAACUGCAUUCGAGACUGCAUUGCUAGAGUAUGGGAGAGGGAAGUGGAAUUUCCGGUGUAGCGGUGAAAUGCGUAGAUAUCGGAAGGAACAUCAGUGGCGAAAGCGACUUCCUGGACCAAUACUGACGCUCAUGUGCGAAAGCGUGGGGAGCAAACAGG
rnacentral:rRNA from 1 species